CCGGGGGUGGAGGUAACGCGUGGAUAACCUGCCUCACACUGGGGGAUAACAGUUAGAAAUGACUGCUAAUACCGCAUAAGCGCACAGUACCGCAUGGUACAGUGUGAAAAACUCCGGUGGUGUGAGAUGGAUCCGCGUCUGAUUAGCCAGUUGGCGGGGUAACGGCCCACCAAAGCGACGAUCAGUAGCCGACCUGAGAGGGUGACCGGCCACAUUGGGACUGAGACACGGCCCAA
rnacentral:rRNA from 1 species